rnacentral:rRNA from 1 species
AACGAACGCUGGCGGCAUGCCUAACACAUGCAAGUCGAACGAGACCUUCGGGUCUAGUUGCGCACGGGUGCGUAACGCGUGGGAACCUGCCCUUAGGUUCGGAAUAACUCCCCGAAAGGGGUGCUAAUACCGGAUAAUGUCUUCGGACCAAAGAUUUAUCGCCUUUGGAUGGGCCCGCGUCGGUUUAGCUGGUUGGUAGGGUAAAAGCCUACCAAGGCGACGAUCCAUAGCUGGUCGGGGAGGAUGACCAGCCACACUGGGACUGAGACACGGCCCAGACUCCUAGGGGAGGCAGCAGUGGGGAAUAUUGGACAAUGGGCGAAAGCCUGGUCCAGCAAUGCCGCGUGAGUGAUGAAGGCGUUAGGGUUGUAAAGCUCUUUUACCCGGGAUGAUAAUGACAGUACCGGGAGAAUAAGCUCCGGCUAACUCCGUG